rnacentral:rRNA from 1 species
AGUGAACGCUGGCGGUAGGCCUAACACAUGCAAGUCGAACGGCAGCACAGUAAGAGCUUGCUCUUACGGGUGGCGAGUGGCGGACGGGUGAGGCAUACAUCGGAAUCUACUUUUUCGUGGGGGAUAACGUAGGGAAACUUACGCUAAUACCGCAUACGACCUACGGGUGAAAGCAGGGGAUCUUCGGACCUUGCGCGAUUGAAUGAGCCGGUGUCGGAUUAGCUAGUUGGCGGGGUAAAGGCCCACCAAGGCGACGAUCCGUAGCUGGUCUGAGAGGAUGAUCAGCCACACUGGAACUGAGACACGGUCCAGACUCCUACGGGAGGCAGCAGUGGGGAAUAUUGGACAAUGGGCGCAAGCCUGAUCCAGCCAUACCGCGUGGGUGAAGAAGGCCUUCGGGUUGUAAAGCCCUUUUGUUGGGAAAGAAAAGCAGCAGGUUAAUACCCCGCUGUUCUGACGGUACCCAAAGAAUAAGCACCGGCUAACUUCGUG